CCAAAGGCUAGUGUCCCUGCUGAGAGGGAGGAGGUCCUCCGAGCAUCAGGCCUCAUCCCUGCACAUAAGGAGGGGAUCCUCCGAGCAUCAGGCCUCAUCCCUGUACAGAGGAAGGGGAUUCUUCCAGCAGCUUCUAUCACUGCGCGGAAGAAGAAGAUCCUCAGAGCAUCACACGUCACCCAUGCACAAAGGGAGUUGAUCCUCCUGAUGGCCAGUGUCACUGCGCAGAGGAAGGGAAUCUUCCCAAAGGCCAGCGUCCCUGCACACAGGGAGUGGAUCGUCCCAAAGGCUAGUGUCCCUGCAGAGAGGGAGGAGAUCUUCCUCACAACCAGUGUCCCUGUGAAGAAUGGAAACAAUCAUCCACAACCACCUCCCAUCAUCCCCAUGGUGGCACCACUGUGGAAAUGGGAUGGUGGAGCGUGUACUCCACCUGUGGAUUUCUAUUCCAAGAGAAGAGAUGUCCGACUUAGAUAUGUCGAGCAUCCUGCUAUGAUGUCCAUCACCAAGCCGGAACAUUCCGAUGCCAACCCUCAGUGCCAGACUGGCAGCCGGCCGGUGGCUGAGCCCGAGACCCCUGCUGUUCACAAUAACAGUGGAGGCUGGCUCAGCUGGGUCUUUGGGAUUGGAAGAGUUAAUAAGAAGGAGGUUCAUCUACCUGAGGACAAAGACAGAUCUAUUGUCUGGGAUCCAACUCUGCACAGAUGGGUUAACAAAACUGAGCCCAAGGCUGAGAACAAGUGUGUACCACCACCUCCACCGAUGGGGACAUAUGGAUAUCAGGGGAACACUGGCAGUGUCCCCAAAGGAGUGAAUCCUUACUCUAUGAAAGCAGCAGGUCUAUGGGGCAGCAGAUACCCUACAAUGCAUGACAAUGAUGGGACCAACUCAAAGCCUCCAAGCCAUGGUCCUGGACUGCUUCCUAGACAGCUUUUGACCUCAUGGCACCAAUGGUUGUGCCACCUGACACUCUAGCCUACUGAGGUAAGACUCUGGAAAAUCCUUCCAAAUUGUAUCCAUUCAUCAUUAACUGAGAUUUUACUGUAACAUAGCAAAUGGCUGAAGUAGCAAGGAUGUUAACUAUUUUUUAUUUUUGUCCAACAGGCCAUUUGCCCAGAGUGGAUUUGCCAUACAUAGAUUUUUUUCAGCAUUAAAAAUCUUCAGCAUUAAAAAUGUAUUAAAACAUGAUCUUUUAAUUAAAUCUCUCCUUUGUGUCCUCAUGUUCACAUUAAUUUGAUGUGUUCUAUCAUCAUUUACAAUGCUUAUUGCUUCUGCAUUGCUUUACGUUACAGACAAGUAUACUGCUCAAAAAAAUAAAGGAAACACUAAAAUAACACAUCCUAGAUCUGAAUGAAUGAUAUAAUCUUAUUAAAUACUUUUUUCUUUACAUAGUUGAAUGUGCUGACAACAAAAUCACACAAAAAUAAUCAAUGGAAAUCCAAUUUAUCAACCCAUGGAGGUCUGGAUUUGGAGUCACACUCAAAAUUAAAGUGGAAAACCACACUACAGGCUGAUCCAACUUUAAUGUAAUGUCCUUAAAACAAGUCAAAAUGAGGCUCAGUAGUGUGUGUGGCCUCCACGUGCCUGUAUGACCUCCCCACAACGCCUGGGCAUGCUCCUGAUGAGGUGGCGGAUGGUCUCCUGAGGGAUCUCCUCCCAGACCUGGACUAAAGCAUCCGCCAACUCCUGGACAGUCUGUGGUGCAACGUGGCGUUGGUGGAUGGAGUGAGACAUGAUGUCCCAGAUGUGCUCAAUUGGAUUCAGGUCUGGGGAACGGGCGGGCCAGUUCAUAGCAUCAAUGCCUUCCUCUUGCAGGAACUGCUGACACACUCCAGCCACAUGAGGUCUAGCAUUGUCUUCCAUUAGGAGGAACCCAGGGCCAACCGCACAAGCAUAUGGUCUCACAAGGGGUCUGAGGAUCUCAUCUCGGUACCUAAUGGCAGUCAGGCUACCUCUGGCGAGCACAUGGAGGGCUGUGCGGCCCCCCAAAGAAAUGCCACCCCACACCAUGACUGACCCACCGCCAAACUGGUCAUGCUGGAGGAUGUUGCAGGCAGCAGAACGUUCUCCACGGCGUCUCCAGACUCUGUCACGUCUGUCACAUGUGCUCAGUGUGAACCUG
ensembl:lncRNA